AGUGAACGCUGGCGGUAGGCCUAACACAUGCAAGUCGAACGGCAGCACAGGAGAGCUUGCUCUCUGGGUGGCGAGUGGCGGACGGGUGAGGAAUACAUCGAAAUCUACUUUUUCGUGGGGGAUAACGUAGGGAAACUUACGCUAAUACCGCAUACGACCUACGGGUGAAAGCAGGGGACCUUCGGGCCUUGCGCGAUUGAAUGAGCCGAUGUCGGAUUAGCUAGUUGGCGGGGUAAAGGCCCACCAGGCGACGAUCCGUAGCUGGUCUGAGAGGAUGAUCAGCCACACUGGAACUGAGACACGGUCCAGACGCCUACGGGAGGCAGCAGUGGGGAAUAUUGGACAAUGGGCGCAAGCCUGAUCCAGCCAUACCGCGUGGGUGAAGAAGGCCUUCGGGUUGUAAAGCCCUUUUGUUGGGAAAGAAAUCCAGCUGGCUAAUACCCGGUUGGGAUGACGGUACCCAAAGAAUAAGCACCGGCUAACUUCGUGCCAGCCGCCGCAGUAA
rnacentral:rRNA from 1 species